UACGUAGGGGGCGAGCGUUGUCCGGAUUUAUUGGGCGUAAAGAGCGUGUAGGCGGCCAGGUAGGUCUGCUGUGAAAACUCGAGGCUCAACCUCGAGACGUCGGCGGAAACCAUCUGGCUAGAGUCCGGAAGAGGAGAGUGGAAUUCCUGGUGUAGCGGUGAAAUGCGCAGAUAUCAGGAGGAACACCAGUGGCGAAGGCGGUUCUCUGGGCAUUACCUGACGCUGAGGAGCGAAAGUGUGGGGAGCGAACAGG
rnacentral:rRNA from 1 species